CCUACGGGACGCAGCAGUGAGGAAUAUUGGUCAAUGGACGCAAGUCUGAACCAGCCAUUCCGCGUGCAGGAAGACGGCUCUAUGAGUUGUAAACUGCUUUUGUACGAGGGUAAACUCAGAUACGCGUAUCUGUCUGAAAGUAUCGUACGAUUAAGGUACGGCUAACUCCGUGCCAGCCGCCGCGGUAAUACGGAGGAUUCAAGCGUUAUCCGGAUUUAUUGGGUUUAAAGGGUGCGUAGGCGGUCGGGUAAGGUAGAUGUGAAAUCCCGAGGCUUAACUUCGGAAUUGCCUAUGAUACUGUUCGGCUAGAGAGCAGUAGCGGUAGGCGGAAU
rnacentral:rRNA from 1 species